rnacentral:rRNA from 1 species
AACGUAGGACGCAAGCGUUAUCCGGCGUUACUGGGCGUAAAGCGCGGGCAGGCGGCCUCGCAAGUCUGAUGUGAAAGCACUCUGCUCAACAGAGUGAUGCCAUUGGAAACUACGAGGCUGGAGUCUGGCAGAGGUAGGCGGAAUUCCGGGUGGAGUGGUGAAAUGCGUAGAGAUCCGGAGGAACACCAGAGGCGAAGGCGGCCUACUGGGCCAGUACUGACGCUGAGCCGCGAAAGCCAGGGGAGCGAACGGG